AAGUCAUUAACUGGGCCGUUCCAAAUAUUAGAGUUUUGGGGAUAUGAAUAUCUGGGCAUAUGUAGACCGUGCGACCCAACUAGUGAAGAAAAAUGGCCAAGAACUUCCCGGUGGAAAGCGAAGAAAAAGACUAUUGAUAUUGUUCACUGUAGGAAUGCGCUUAAUCAGUUGACUGCAGACAUCGUGACAUGGAGACCGUGGGAAUCCGCCAUUGGUGUUCUUGACUCUGAUGUUGGUCGCAGGGCUGUGGAGCUUUCA